AGCACCCACCAAUUCCAUCUUGUGCAGAACUCGCGUGAGCAACCGUAGAAAGCGCAUACUACAAGUCGGUAACAAUGGCAAAGAACUCCUCGACCACCGUUCAGCUGCUCCUCGUCCUCCUCGUUUUACUGGUUCUUGUCAGCGGCAUCCUCGCACGAGGCGGACCAAGCACUUGCAACCUCAGGCCGUUUGAGCAGCGGAAUUGCCCUCCAAUCCCUGGUCAAGGGGACUAAUCACAACAAUGUAUCAAAGGACGCCAGGGACGAAUUUAUACUACUACAUGCUUUCAGAUGCUUGGUUGUGUGUCGUGCUGAUGUUGGUGUAUAUGGCCUACUUUUCCAAUAUAAUAUGAGGGACAGUAUAAUUAAUUAACUGCCCGUACUAUAAAAAGUUCAGAGCUGUUUUUGAAGACUCAUGUGCGUGUGCAAGUUUAUAUUUCGACUAAAGAGUCCCCGCCCAUCACAGUGAUGGUAAACAAAUUAUGUAAUGUCUUAUAAUUAAGAUUCAUUGAUCACACACAA